AGGAGUAAUAUUCUCACAGUCACUUCUGGCACAUAAUUCCAGCUUCCAAAGAACACUGAGUCAUACCUGGAUAUCACCAACUGCUGUUGCUCUCUUCUUUUGGCUCUAUGCCAAUCAGGCAUGGAAAUCAGUCCCUUUCCUGUCAUUUUCCCCCCAGAACCAAUCACUCAAGACAUUGUAUGUGGCAGGUUUUACUAAAGUAAAGCCCAGGGACAAAUCUUAUGGAUUCUACCGGUGGAGAUGAAUGUGUUCACUAGCCAAGGCUCCAGCUUCAGACAAGGGUAGUAAUGAAUCAAUCACCAGGCUUUUAUUAAGUGUCUCUUCACUAAAAGCAUAGCUCUUCCUGCAGCCAGACAGCCUUGGCUCUGCACUCCUGAAGAAUGAUGAGGUGGAGUUUGUCCGAACUGGCUAUGGGAAGGAUAUGGUAAAAGUUCUCCAUAUUCAGUGAGAUGGAAAAUAUCACAGCAUUAAAGAGGUGGCAACUUCAGUGCAGCUUACUCUAAGUUCCAAAAAAGCAACUUCAGUGCAGCUUACUCUAAGUUCCAAAAAAGAUUACCUACAUGGAGAUAAUUCAGACAUCAUCCCUACAGACACCAUCAAGAACACAGUUCAUGUCUUGGCAAAGUUUAAAGAAAAUGGAGUUAAGCAUGUCCAUGCAUUUAUUCACACUCCCACUGGAACACACUUCUGUGAAGUUGAACAGCUGAGAAGUGGACCCCAAGUCAUUCACUCUGGAAUCAAAGACCUCAAGGUCUUGAAAACAACACAGUCUGGAUUUGAAGGUUUCAUCAAGGACCAGUUCACUACCCUCCCUGAGGAGAAGGACUGAUGCUUUGCCACCCAAGUGUACUGCAAGUGGCGCUACCACCAGUGCAGGGAUGUGGACUUCAAGGCUACCUGGGACACCAUUCGGGACCUUGUCAUGGAGAAAUCUGCUGGGCCCUAUGACAAAGGUGAAUACUCGCCCUCUGUGCAGAAGACCGUCUGUGAUAUCCAGGUGCUCUCCCUGAGCCGAGUUCAUGCGAUAGAAGAUAUGGAAAUCAGCCUGCCAAACAUUCACUACUUCAACAUAGACAUGUCCAAAAUGGGUCUGAUCAACAAGGAAGAGGUAAGAGGAAAUUGACUCAUCUCUCAACUAUUGCCAGGAUAAUAAGGCAUUACCAUGCUUGAAGUAACUUUACUGGAGGACAUACACAUUUUCCUGUUUAGUCUUGCUGCCAUUAGACAAUCCAUAUGGAAAAAUUACUGGUACAGUCAAGAGGAAGUUGUCUUCAAGACUGUGACAUUGUGGCCACCAAUAGGAGUCCACUCUCAGCUGAGGAAUUCCUUAAGUCAUUUGUGAUGCUGGAGAUGAUAGCAUGUAGCCAUGCAAAAUUUCACACUAGUAUAUUGAUUUACAGUGUUCACUUUCCUCCAAUAUGAAACAGUUUAUUUCUUCUACACCUAGCUCAGCAAGGCAUUCUGUGGAUUACCUUAUUAGUAAUUAUAACAGGCUUUAUGGCUAUAGUUUACUUUAAAAAUGCUGAGCAGUAUUAGAACAGUUAUAAAUCAAUAUUUCUUUUUGGUUGUCUUAUGCCUUCCUAUCUUAGAGAAGCUUUAGAAUCAAUUCAUUAAGAAAAUGAUCAUGAAUUAAUGAGUGUGUCACAUCAAUUAAUUUGUGCACAGGUUUAAGAAACAAAUAUUGUUUUCAUCCUACUGAUGCUUCUAAGUAAUGCAGAAAAUGAAAUAAAAUUAUAUUG